rnacentral:rRNA from 1 species
CCUACGGGAGGCAGCAGUGAGGAAUAUUGGUCAAUGGACGAGAGUCUGAACCAGCCAAGUAGCGUGAAGGAUGACUGCCCUAUGGGUUGUAAACUUCUUUUAUAAAGGAAUAAAACGAGGCACGUGUGCCUUUUUGCAUGUACUUUAUGAAUAAGGAUCGGCUAACUCCGUGCCAGCAGCCGCGGUAAUACGGAGGAUACGAGCGUUAUCCGGAUUUAUUGGGUUUAAAGGGAGCGUAGAUGGGUUGUUAAGUCAGUUGUGAAAGUUUGCGGCUCAACCGUAAAAUUGCAAUUGAUACUGGCAGUCGUGAGUACAGUUGAGGUAGGCGGAAUUCGUGGUGUAGCGGUGAAAUGCUUAGAUAUCACGAAGAACCCCGAUUGCGAAGGCAGCUUACUAAACUGUGACUGACAUUGAUGCUCGAAAGUGUGGGUAUCAAACAGGAUUAGAUACCCGUGUAGUC